CCCAGGAACUAUAUCCCCCUGCAGCUCCCAGCUGUCAGCCCACUGAAGCUCAGCAGGUGGGAGCCUGGCCAGUACCUGGAUGGGAGACCUCCUGGGAAAAACUAAGGGUUGCUGCUGGAA
rnacentral:rRNA from 1 species